UACAGAGGGUGCGAGCGUUAAUCGGAAUUACUGGGCGUAAAGCGUGCGUAGACGGUAGCGUAAGUCAGAUGUGAAAGCCCCGGGCUCAACCUGGGAACUGCAUUUGAGACUGCUCUGCUCGGGUGCGGAAGAGGGAAGCGGAAUUUCCGGUGUAGCGGUGAAAUGCGUAGAUAUCGGAAGGAACACCAGUGGCGAAAGCGGCUUCCUGGUCCGACACCGACGUUCAGGCACGAAAGCGUGGGGAGCGAACCGG
rnacentral:rRNA from 1 species